ensembl:lncRNA
GUUUUGUUUAUUAGGUCACUUGGUGGGUGCUGUGUUGGAUGUUGAGGAAAACCCUGAUGCUGACAACCAAGGCUAGUCUUUAAUAUCACUCAUUUAUGUUAGAAUUUAUUCAAUUUACAAUUUGUUUUAAAUUGAUUUCUUUACCUUCUUUUGUACAGUUUUCAGGGAGAAACACGGUGCCCUGGUGACAUCAUUAGUGCAGAGCGAAAAAAACUUGAUGAUCAGAUAGCUGUUUGGAAACAGAGAACUAUUGGGGAGGAUCAAAAAGGUCUUGAUGAUUGCCCUCCCCCUCAUAAAAAAAUCAAAAGUCUGGAUUGUGCUAAAACCUCUGGCAAGAAGUCAUUAUUGAGCCGAAAACGUCGUGGGAUUAAGAGCCGUCAAACUGAUAAUGAUGCAACGUCGGGGAACGGUGUAUGGCAACCGUUAGACAUUCCUCAGAAGUCGCAGUUCUUUCCCCCGAGAGAAGUGGAUGAGGCAGUGCAGGCACUCGUGCAGCUAAACACAACGCCGAGGGACGAGCCCCAGUUACCCGCUGGAUAUGUGGUUGCCUCUUCCCAAACAGAAGGAGCCAGAGAUGAUGGAGGGGUCUGGACCAGCAGAGCAGGAACACAUGGAGCUGGAGAUGACGGCCGUGACACCAGAUCCAGGCUAGGUGCAGGAGACGAUGGAGCCGACCAAGGCUGAAACUGUUGAGGAGAUGUAUGAGGCUCCCAAGGAGGCGAUUGCUGUGUAGAUGUGCAAGGUUCCAAAGGAGGCGAUUGCUGAGGAGAUGAUGGCGCCGACCAAGGCUGAAACUGUUGAGGAGAUGUAUGAGGCUCCCAAGGAGGCGAUUGCUGAGUCGAUGUGAGAGUUUCCCAAGGAAACGAUUGCUGAGAAGAUGAGACAGGGGACCAAGGAGGGGGCCAGACCAGGUUAUAUGGAGCUGUAGUGUCUGCUGUCAAAAUGAGUGGAGAUGCAGGACUAUACUCUGAAAAAAAAAAUAAAUGACAUCACGUUUAGAGACAGAUCUGAAAUUAACACAUAGCUGUAGUUGUAAACAUGAUUACAAACUGAAAUUAUUUACAGUAUGCCUACCAUUUGUUAUUAGCAGUCUGUGUGUCUGAUGAUUUUCGGCCUACACAAGGCAGGCAGGAGACUGCUCUGGAUGCCAGGCGAUAUAUCAUCAAAAACAAGGCGCUUUCUAAUAUUCUCAUAACAAUUGUAGAUUCGAUCUCGCUUGAUUGCUCCAUCAAUUUCUCUAAACACCCUCUGCAGACACCGCCAGUCACACCACUGGAUAAAAAAAAUGUUUUUGAACCAUAAGUCAUGCUCUUCAAGAUUGAGCGGGUAUGGCUGAUUUUUCCAUUCCUCGCGCCCUCUGGCAGCAAUCAGCUUUUCCCUGUCUUCACACACACUAAUAAAAAUAAAAUCAUCUUGCUUGUGAAAAAAACGAUCGGCCACAACCCGAUAAAUCUCCGGACCUGUAGCGCCAACCAACUGCGAAACAUAAACUGUCUCAGGAUAUCCUGGCUGGUCAAGAUCUGAGCAGACAACCGAACGAAACAGCUUCCAGUCUUUAGCAGACAUCGACGCAACAUCGCCCCCAAAACCAGAAUCUGCCUGACAGUGGACGCUCAUCUUGACUCUUCCAUCGUGGUAUUUUAAAGAAUAAACAUACCCGUUCAGACCCGCAUACUCUAGAUCCAUCCCCGUCCUAGCGUUAGCUCUAGCAUUGACCGUCAUAUUUCCCACUACACGCUUCUUUUUAGUGCGCUGGACAUUCACAGCGGCUUCGCUAGGAUAAUGAUCGCGUGACAUACUAUCGACGUCUCCGAUUAAAUUCUCCAGUUCGAUAAGAUCGUUGUUUGCCAUGACUACGCAGGGGUCCCUUGUUGCUCAGAAGAAAUCCGAAGGUGAAAUGAACUCAGAUGUGCAGCUCAUAUAUACAGUGUAAGGGACAACCACACGGCCAAAAAGGUAUGCAUACUCCCCCCACCCACCUCCCCCACAUACCGCCAGGUGUUAACAAAAGGGAUGGUCCGAAAGAGUGUUAAUCUGUCAGGCUUAUCCCGAAUAAAACACAUGAAAACAGAAUUAAACAAAAUCCCAAAUUGUAUAUAAAUAUAUACAUAUACAUAUAUGUGUGUGUGUUAAAAAAGUAUUUUACAUAGACACCAAACACUGCUAGUAUCUAUUAAUGUAUGCUUUAUAAACCUUGAAUGAGAUAAAAAAAAAUAGCGGCUAAAAUAAACUAUAUAUAAAUUAAAUAUAAUUUAAUAACUAGCUGGUAGAUAUAUCAUUCACCGAUUAAAAACAGUUAUUAAAACUACUUAUCAUUCAUACAAACGCUAUACAGUGUCUACAGAGUAUACAGAUUACUGAAUUUGUUAACUACAAGACUGUCUGCCCACAUGUCUAAAAGUCCAACCCUUGAUUUAACUAUACAUGCUUACUCUAUUGAAGAACUUUCUUACAUUAAACAACACCAAAGGAAUACUAAAACACAACGUAUAAUAUUGAUACACAAAAUC